rnacentral:rRNA from 1 species
CUACGGGCUGCUCCAGUGAGGAAUAUUGCACAAUGGGGGGAACCCUGAUGCAGCAACGCCGCGUGGAGGAUGACGCAUUUCGGUGUGUAAACUCCUUUUAUAUGUCAAGAAAAUGACGGUAGCAUAUGAAUAAGCACCGGCUAACUCCGUGCCAGCAGCCGCGGUAAUACGGAGGGUGCAAGCGUUACCCGGAAUCACUGGGCGUAAAGGACGCGUAGGCGGGUUGGAAAGUCAGGUGUGAAAUCCUACAGCUUAACUGUAGAACUGCACUUGAAACUUCUAGUCUAGAGUAUGGGAGGGGGAGAUGGAAUUAGUGGUGUAGGGGUAAAAUCCGUAGAUAUCACUAGGAAUACCUAAAGCGAAGGCGAUCUCCUGGAACAUUACUGACGCUAAGGCGUGAAAGCGUGGGGAGCAAACAGGAUUAGAUACCCCGGUAGUC